rnacentral:rRNA from 1 species
UACGUAGGGUGCGAGCGUUGUCCGGAAUUAUUGGGCGUAAAGAGCUCGUAGGCGGUUUGUUGCGUCGGCCGUGAAAACUCAGGGCUUAACUCUGAGCCUGCGGUCGAUACGGGCAGACUUGAGUUCGGUAGGGGAGACUGGAAUUCCUGGUGUAGCGGUGAAAUGCGCAGAUAUCAGGAGGAACACCGGUGGCGAAGGCGGGUCUCUGGGCCGAUACUGACGCUGAGGAGCGAAAGCGUGGGGAGCAAACAGG